UCUCCACAUCAUGAUUGACAUACAAAAAACUGUGAAGAAUCAAGGUAUUCAACUUGAUGAGUUUGGAGAUAAGUAUACAACUGGGAAAUCAUCACCUCCAAAGCUAGGAAAGAUCACCGACUGUGGUACCUAUUGCCCAAAGUUGUGGUCUGAAAGAUCAAAGGACAGAUAAAGUCACAUCUUAAAGAGGGGCCAACAUUAAGACCCGGAAAAAGAGGACCAAAUAACUUUGUCAUUCGCAGAAGCAAAAGAAGAAUAAAGGAUACUGAGCCAUACAAGAAGAUACCCAGGAUGCUGAUGGAUGAGGAAUAUAGAGUAGGUGGAUUGGAGAGGAGAAAUUUGGACACAGAGACAGACACACCAUAGGAAGAAUGCCAUAUGAACAUGAGAGCAGAGAUGGGGUGAGCCUCUGCAAGACAAUGAACAGCAAAGAUUGGAAGCAAACCCCCAGAAGCUAGAGAGAGCAUAGAACAGAUUCUUCCUCCCAGGCUUCAGAAGGACGCAAUCUUGCUGACACCUUGAUCUUGGACUUCCAGCCUCUGGAACUGUGAGACAACAUGUUUCUGUUGUCCCACAGGCCCUAGAGAUGCUCUCACAGGAAGGAAUGACUGGCGGACAUGGGACCAGAUGACCACAUCAGUUACAGUUUACAUUUAGAAGGAACCAUUCCAAUGUCACAUGGCAGAAGACGUAAGAGGAUGGGUGGCAAAAGGAGAGCCUAAGGACAAGACAGCAUAACUCAGUGCGGACCCGGGUCAAAGCCAGGCUCCGCAGAGCAGCUGGGGAGUAAGAGGGCAGUCACGUCUGUGGGAAGCGUGCCGGGAGGCCAGCCUGAUAAAGGAACGAGGAAGCUGCCGGGGAAGAGUGUCCUCUUAAAGUGUGAAAUGUACACCCCCCCGAGCUGGUGCUGCUGGCCAAGUACCAACUGCGAUCAGUAAGGACUGCAAACAUCAUUUACCAGGGUGGGGACUUUUCAAGCUUUGAAAGGACAAGAAUAUUAAAUGAGAAAAAUAAACUUACUUUAUGGAAUGCCCUA